rnacentral:piRNA from 1 species
UGAGCAAUGGUGCUUCGCUUGUAUAGAGUU